UAACGUUUAUAAUCGAUUUUAUUUUUAUCGGCAUAUUUUUCGAUAACCUUUAAAAAUUCUUACGAUUUCGAAGGAGGCACGAUCUUAUAUAUCUCGUUGAAAAGUCUAUUUCAGCAAACGACAGCAGCAGGGGCAUUGAAAAUCAACGAGUCGACGAGAUUCCGUCAGACGUUCGAAAGAACAUCGGCGAAAAAGCAUCAAAGAUUCAAGGAACAUCCUUGCUCGCUUCUCUUGGCAGAACCCUUCUUGAAAUUAGACAAUGGCGAGACUACGGUCAUCUUGUCUCUAGCCACGUUCUUUCCGUCUUCUUCUCUCUCUCUCUCUAUCUCUGUCUCUUUCCCUCUCCGAUACCUGUCACCACAGAAAAUCCCACGCUCUUGCCGAGCUCAGGGUGUGACCUGGAUACCGAGUUUCUAAGCUUUAACCCGAAGCUUUUGCUCUUCCGGACUUACUCCCUUCCUUCGAGUCUCGUUUGCGGGAGACACAGCGACGACGACGACGACGACGACGUGGCUUUUUGCGGCUGAAAGAAAGAAUAAAGAGAAAAAUAGAGAGAGAGAGAGAGAGAGAGAGAGAGAGAGAGAGAGAAAGGAGGGAGAAGAAACUCUGGAGUAUUGGGAAAUGGGACGAGCCAACGUAGUAGACCUUUUUGGGAUAUCGGAAAUCCGAAAGUGGUAAAUCUCCGAAAAUUAGUGGACGUGGACUUCUCCUUUGACCUUUCCCUUGUUUCUGAUCAAGAAGAAAGCGAAUGAGCACGUGUUGGCUCCUUCUAGAUAGUGGUUAUUGCCCAUGGGAUUUGGAAAUGGUAUGUAUUCUGGCAUGCUCGAUACUUACACUCACUGAAUAUUCCAAGUCCUAGAUAUCUCUUCGUAGGAUAUCGAAUAGAGAGGACGAAGGGGGAAAGAGAGAGGAUGUUUCGAACUUUCGACGAUGUGUCCGCUCCACAGUUAUCCGUCAGAGCAGACGGCGCCGAACUUUAUCGUUACUUGCUACGUCACUGAUAAUAAUAGAGUCAGACCACGUUAGGGACUAACCACUUCUCGUCUUUCGAAUUCCCUCUUCAGAAGAUCGAUUUCAACAACGAUGUAAUUCCUAUGAAUCGAGAAAUACAAGUUGCGCGUCUACACGAUUAGGAUGUUUGUCAUCGACGUUGAGAGCUGAUAUUAAUUAUUAAUUUACGAAGACAUUCGAGAGACCUCGUAUUAAUCGGAUUGGUUAAUCCUUCCUCUUCUUCUUCAAGUUUUUACCAAAGGAUAGGGACACAUAACAAGAGAAAAGAAAGAGAAAAUAAAACGACGUAGGUGAUCGUACCAAAUCGGGGCUCAGUCAAAACAGAAAUAAAACAUCCUUUCUCAGUCGAGAAAAAAAGGGAACCAAAACAAAGCGAACCAAGUCAAAACAAAAGUACAACAAAAGCAAACAAAACAAAAAGGGAAAGGAAAAAUCAGGAGGCGAGACGAAAAUCUAGGACCGAGCGCGUGCGCUUUGGGAUAGGCGGAGAAGGGUCGAGGAAAAGGUUGAGGAGUAGGGGUUGGCGCCCGGUGGCGCCCCACUCGCCGCUCGGCACCCUUCCACUUUUGGCUCGCGGCGCGCACGCCGUCGCCGCCGUCGCCGCGACGGCAGGGUUGGGCUGUUGUCGGAAGGGUGGAGGUGUCAGGCGCCAGUCGCUACGCGGACGCUGAGCUCGGGAUUUCCCUCGUCCUCGCGAUAUAGAGCUCUUUUUUCAGUAUCUAUUUAUCUAUCUCUCCUUUUCUCGCUCUCUCGCUCUCGC